UACGUAGGGUGCAAGCGUUGUCCGGAAUUAUUGGGCGUAAAGAGCUUGUAGGCGGUUUGUCGCGUCUGCUGUGAAAUUUCGGGGCUCAACCCCGAACUUGCAGUGGGUACGGGCAGACUAGAGUGUGGUAGGGGAGACUGGAAUUCCUGGUGUAGCGGUGAAAUGCGCAGAUAUCGGGAAGAACACCCAUGGCGAAGGCAGCUCUCUGGGACGGUACUGACGCUGAGACGCGAAAGCGUGGGGAGCGAACAGG
rnacentral:rRNA from 1 species